CUCUUUCAAAGGGUUUAGUGUCCAAUCUUCAGGGUAUAAGAUACAACUCCAAUGAGCACAUUCAUGUUCCAAGCAGCAAAAUGCUAUGUUGCAGGGGUAAGGAGAGAACAGAUAUUAGGUGAAAGCUAGCAGUCUUUGCUAUAAGGGAGAUUCCAAGACUCUGACAUUUGCAUAGAGGAUUGCAUGUAGGAUGGUAUCAUCCCCAAUUUAAGUGGAGAAUACAGGGAACCUAUUAGACCUUUAUGUUUGUUUUCCUAGGGCCUUUGGCUUCACCUAGAAGCAAAAGCCUGUUUAUUUGUAUUAUUUUGGUUUUUGGUGUACUGCCCCUUUCCUAUCUAGCCAUGCAGUUCUAGUGAGAUCUUCCAAUCAGUACUCUGUCUCUCUGGCAAACAAUUUGAUUGAUUGAGGUAUGGCCAUGUGAUCCAGGCCAGGACAAUCAGAAUACUUCAUUUUAAUUACUUUUUUUGACUUAAUUGAGGAAAAAAUUGUGACAUGACUGGAAAAUGUAUGGCCAGAAACUGCUGAUGGCCCCCUUUUUUUUAAUUACUUUUUUUUUUUAGUUGUCGAUGGACCU
rnacentral:lncRNA from 1 species